GAUGAACGCUGGCGGCGUGCCUAAUACAUGCAAGUCGAGCGAACGGACGAGAAGCUUGCUUCGCUGAUGUGAGCGGAGGACGGGAGAGUAACAUGUGGAUAACCUACCUAUAAUACUGGGAUAACUUCGGGAAACCGGAGCUAAUACGGUAUAAUAUUUUGAACCGCAUGGUUCAAAAAUGAAAGACGGUCUUGCUGUCACUUAUAGAUGGAUCUGAGCUGCAUUAGCUAGUUGUUAAGUAAACGGCUUACCAAGGCAACGAUGCAUAGCCGACCUGAGAGGGUGAUCGGCCACACUGGAACUGAGACACGGUCCAGACUCCUACGGGACGCAGCAGUAGGGAAUCUUACGCAAUGGGCGGAAGCCUGACGGAGCAACGCCGCGUCAGUGAUAACGGUCUUCGGAUCGUAAAACUCUGUUAUUAGGGAAGAACAUAUGUCUACGUAACUGUGCACAGCUUGACGGUACCUAAUCAGAAAGCCACGGCUAACUACGUG
rnacentral:rRNA from 1 species